CUAGAAAUCUGUCACACUCAGAGCCGCCCCUUUUUAGUGAGAAAAAAAGGAUGGGAAUCACAAGUUGAGAAGUUCAGACAUAUUCUGGUUUUAUUUUUGUCACAAAAUUUAUGGUUUAUGUCAUUAUCUUUUGUUAAAAAUUGGGCGUUUUAUUAUUUUAUUUCAAGAAAACAUAAAAGGGUCUUAGAGAGUUAGAGAUAGCAGACUUUGUUGUUUUCGCUAGGCAGCUGUAUUUGCGAGAGAAAGACUUGUUCCAUUCCUGUGGCUUUCCUUCUUCCUUUUCCUCCCAAGAAAGCACAGAAAUUUUAUUGACUGCAAAAAAAGAAGAAGAAGAAAACCUGUUUACAAGAAUGGAGAUGAUGUAUUACCAGCUUGGAAGGAGCUCCUAUCAAGAAUCCUUGAAAGUUCUCGAGUCAGAUAUCCAGCAUGCAAAUGCUCUGGCUGCUGCAAUUCCGAGACAAAAAGGCACAUCACACCUUCAAAUGGAACUGGUCUACAAUCAGUUGGCACCGCUUUUCCUGUUUUUGCUUCGUUGGAUUGAUUGUUCCUGCACUUGUCUGCUUUCCGACUACCUAAAUCCCAUUUACAUCCUCAUUUAUAAGGUAGAUGCUGAAGGAAGAUUAAAAAUAUCCCGACAUGGAAGGAAGGCAACUGUUAGCGAUUUUUAUGCUGUUAUACUGCCAUCACUUCGUCGACUCCAUUUUGACUUGGUGGAAUUUGGCAAUGCCAAAGAUGCCUGGGAAAGCAUUGUUGGUAAGAAAAGAUUGAAAGGGGAUUCGAAAUUUGCAGAGUUUGAUAGGGAGAGAGAAGCAGAAUGCGGAAUAUGCUUAGAACCUUGCACCAAAAUGGUCUUGCCUAAUUGCUGCCAUUCAAUGUGCAUGAAUUGCUAUCGUGAUUGGAACAUGAGAUCGGAGUCAUGUCCUUUCUGUCGUGGUAGUUUGAAGAGGGUCAAAUCCAAAGACUUGUGGGUUCUCACCUCCAAUGAUGACGUGGUCGACCCCGAUGCUGUUUCCAAAGAGGAUUUGCUGCGUUUCUAUCUCUACAUCAAAAGCCUCCCUAAGAAUUACCCAGACGCGCUGUUCUUGAUGUAUUAUGAAUAUCUAAUAUGAUGCAAACUCUUUAAAGAUAAGAAAAACGCCCAUCUUCAAUGUAAAUAGAAUCCGAAGCCUUGGUUGAGGUAAAGAUCAGCGACUUGUCGUUGCAUGGCUUCUGUGAUAUGAAUACCAUCCCAACUCACGUAUUUUGCAGGGUCUGUGCAUGCGGAUGUGGUCGGGGAGCCACACACCAUUUUCGGGUCGAAGUUGAGAUCUCCUUUGCCAGUUCCGCAACAUGCUUUCUUAGUCUCUUCCAAGUGGUACUUUGCUGGGGUCAUCACUAUUGUUUCGUAUGCUUUCCAGAAGUCUGCAUACAAGAUUGAACAUUCGUGGCAGCGCCUUUGGAGUUCUCCCACUUUGCUUUUAAGUAUUUGAUUGUGUAGCUUUAUUGCCGAGUUCACAGGAACAGCACAUCCAUUUUGGUCAAGUUUAUGCCCCUCGGAUUGCGACACACUUAGAGGAAAGCACCCCAGUGGCGGAAAUUUCUGAACCAGUGUACCUGUGUCUGAAUGGUCAUAGGUAUGCCUUUCCAGAUUACGUGUGAGAGGUCUUGAUUUGUGAAGUAUUUGUGCUGGAGAGACGAGGAUCCGGCGAUUGCAAAGUUGACACCGGAUGUGGCUGUGGAUAAGGCCCCGGGGGUGGCGGAGUAGCUGUUUUUGGAAAUGUUUAGCCAAGGCUGUGGGGAUGGCAAAGAGAAGGAUGCAGACACAUAGUCCACCGCCAAUUUACCGUUGGAUAAUCGGCCUCCAGAGCGCUGGCAGUUAGCACCAAAGCUUCCUUUAAGGCUUGUCAUUGUGCAAGCAUUUCCGGUGUCUGUGUAUGAGCCCCCGAAGGCAUACACCGCGGAGAAGGUGCUGCCAUGUUUCCCCUGCAAACUCCCGCUUUCUUGGGCAUAGACAACACGAGCAUAUGUUGAGAAGAAGAACAAGAAGGAUGUUAUGAAGGAGAGGGUAAGAGAAGAGGAAGACAUGGUUUGCAUGAAAUUAAAUUUUUUUUUGAUGUUUUUGUAUUCAAGAAAUGCUGCACAAAUGUUAUUUAUGCAUUAUUACCAUUGGAGCACAGGAUUUAGAUGAGUGGACACCCGUGUUUUUAGUGAA